UACGGAGGGUGCGAGCGUUGUCCGGAAUCACUGGGCGUAAAGGGCGCGUAGGUGGCGCGGGCAGUCAACGGUGAAAGUUCGGGGCUCAACCCUGAAUCGGCCGUCGAUACUCCCGUGCUUGAGCACUGUAGAGGCAGAUGGAAUUCCGGGUGUAGCGGUGGAAUGCGUAGAGAUCCGGAAGAACACCGGUGGCGAAGGCGGUCUGCUGGGCAGUAGCUGACACUGAGGCGCGACAGCGUGGGGGAGCAAACAGG
rnacentral:rRNA from 1 species